CUAGCGAUUAGCUACUACAACUAUCAUACUAUUACGCGAUAUACUACUAUCUGAUAAUAUUACUACUUCUUCCACUAUCUUCUACUAUUCACUCUUCACACUGUUAUCACCCCUCACAUAUAUCUUCAAUUAAAAUAGAAGACGUGUUUUGAUCUUGUUAUCUGCAAUUGAUGGAGGCAAUGAGGUAAUGAGAGUGGUGCAAUAUGAGAGACAGUAAAUUUCAUACAUCAUGAUUGCAAAAUAACUUGCUAAGGAAACAGUUGAGAGCCGGCAUUUAAGGCACAAUUCUGUUUCAAAAUCAUUUAUCACCACUAUUGUAGGGAUCACAGAAUCAACUACUAGAUUUAAACUUCAAGCAUUUGAUGAUACUGAAGCACCAAAGGGCCCAUAACCUGAUGAAUGUGGAAGGUUGAUUAAUUGUAACUAUCCAGCAAACGCAGCAC
rnacentral:sRNA from 1 species